rnacentral:rRNA from 1 species
AGAGACAGCAGCAGCCGCGGGAAUACGUAGGGUGCAAGCGUUAAUCGGAAUUACUGGGCGUAAAGCGUGCGCAGGCGGUUAUAUAAGACAGAUGUGAAAUCCCCGGGCUCAACCUGGGAACUGCAUUUGUGACUGUAUAGCUAGAGUACGGCAGAGGGGGAUGGAAUUCCGCGUGUAGCAGUGAAAUGCGUAGAUAUGCGGAGGAACACCGAUGGCGAAGGCAAUCCCCUGGGCCUGUACUGACGCUCAUGCACGAAAGCGUGGGGAGCAAACAGGAUUAGAUACCCCAGUAGUCCCUGUCUCUUAUAC